AUGUACCCCUUACACUCCGGUUCCUCCGCGCCGGCCGCACCCACCUGACAACAACUGCUCGCUACGUUUUGUUAGCU
rnacentral:sRNA from 1 species